rnacentral:rRNA from 1 species
GAUGAACGCUGGCGGCGUGCCUAAUACAUGCAAGUCGAGCGAACGGACGAGAAGCUUGCUUUUCUGAUGUUAGCGGCGGACGGGUGAGUAACACGUGGAUAACCUACCUAUAAGACUGGGAUAACUUCGGGAAACCGGAUCUAAUACCGGAUAAUAUUUUGAACCGCAUGGUUCAAAAGUGAAAGACGGUCUUGCUGUCACUUAUAGAUGGAUCCGCGCUGCAUUAGCUAGUUGGUAAGGUAACGGCUUACCAAGGCAACGAUGCAUAGCCGACCUGAGAGGGUGAUCGGCCACACUGGAACUGAGACACGGUCCAGACUCCUACGGGAGGCAGCAGUAGGGAAUCUUCCGCAAUGGGCGAAAGCCUGACGGAGCAACGCCGCGUGAGUGAUGAAGGUCUUCGGAUCGUAAAGCUCUGUUAUUAGGGAAGAACAUAUGUGUAAGUAACUGUGCACAUCUUGACGGUACCUAAUCAGAAAGCCACGGCUAACUACGUG